rnacentral:rRNA from 1 species
UACGUAGGGUGCAAGCGUUGUCCGGAAUUAUUGGGCGUAAAGAGCGUGUAGGCGGCCCGACCAGUCCGCUGUGAAAGUCCAGGGCUCAACCCUGGAAUGCCGGUGGAUACUGUCGGGCUAGAGUCCGGAAGGGGCGAGUGGAAUUCCUGGUGUAGCGGUGAAAUGCGCAGAUAUCAGGAAGAACACCCGUGGCGAAGGCGGCUCUCUGGGACGGUACUGACGCUGAGACGCGAAAGCGUGGGGAGCGAACAGG